CCUACGGGAGGCAGCAGUGAGGAAUAUUGGUCAAUGGCCGAGAGGCUGAACCAGCCAAGUCGCGUGAAGGAAGACGGCCCUACGGGUUGUAAACCUCUUUUGUCUGGGAGUAAAGCGAAGUACGUGUGCUUCAUUGAGAGUACCCGAAGAAUAAGCAUCGGCUAACUCCGUGCCAGCAGCCGCGGUAAUACGGAGGAUUCGAGCGUUAUCCGGAUUUAUUGGGUUUAAAGGGUGCGUAGGCGGGUGGUCAAGUCAGGCGUGAAAGUUUGGGGCUCAACCGCAAAAUUGCCGUUGAUACUGGCUCCCUUGAGUGCGCGAGAGGUAUGCGGAAUGCGUGGUGUAGCGGUGAAAUGCAUAGAUAUCACGCAGAACUCCGAUUGCGAAGGCAGCAUACCGGCGCGCAACUGACGCUGAUGCACGAAAGCGUGGGUAUCGAACAGGAUUAGAUACCCCUGUAGUC
rnacentral:rRNA from 1 species